GCCUGGCUGGCUUAGCUGUUAGAGCAUAGGACUCUCGAUCUCAGGGUCGUGAGGUCAAGCCCCACGCUGGGUG
rnacentral:tRNA from 1 species